GAAUGGCUCAAUUGGUUAGAGCGUAGUGCUGGCAACGGCAAGGUUGCAGGUUCGAUCCCCAUAAGGGACA